rnacentral:rRNA from 1 species
UAGGGAAUCUUCCGCAAUGGACGCAAGUCUGACGGAGCAACGCCGCGUGAGUGAAGAAGGAUUUCGGUUCGUAAAACUCUGUUGUUAGAGAAGAACAGCGCAUAGAGUAACUGUUAUGCGUGUGACGGUAUCUAACCAGAAAGCCACGGCUAACUACGUGCCAGCAGCCGCGGUAAUACGUAGGUGGCAAGCGUUGUCCGGAUUUAUUGGGCGUAAAGCGAGCGCAGGCGGUCAAUUAAGUCUGAUGUGAAAGCCCCCGGCUCAACCGGGGAGGGUCAUUGGAAACUGGUUGACUUGAGUGCAGAAGAGGAGAGUGGAAUUCCAUGUGUAGCGGUGAAAUGCGUAGAUAUAUGGAGGAACACCAGUGGCGAAGGAGACUCUCUGGUCUGUUACUGACGCUGAGGUUCGAAAGCGUGGGUAGCAAACAGG